UGAUACACAAGUUGUUUGAACGUUGAGUGGUGGUUGAACAGGAGUUGUGGACCAGACGGCUGGUAGCUGGUAGCUGUUGUCAGUAGGUCUGGUAUCUGUUGUCAGUAGGUCUGGUAGCUGGUAACUGUUGUCAGUAGGUCUGGUAGCUGGUAACUGUUGUCAGUAGGUCUGAUAUCUGUUGUCAGUAGGUCUGGUAUCUGUUGUCAGUAGGUCUGGUAGCUGGUGUCUGGUAGCUGUUGUCAGUAGGUCUGGUAGCUGUUGUCAGUAGGUCUGGUAUCUGUUGUCAGUAGGUCUGGUAUCUGUUGUCAGUAGGUCUGGUAUCUGUUGUCAGUAGGUCUGGUAGCUGGUAUCUGUUGUCAGUAGGUCUGGUAGCUGGUAUCUGUUGUCAGUCGGUCUGGUAGCUGGUAUCUGUUGUCAGUAGGUCUGGUAGACGUCGUGGAUGGGCACCUGAAACGCUGCGGCAGGGAAGGCCUGGGGCAUGGCGUAACCCGCGUACCCUCCGU